AAAAGAAGAAGAUGAAGAACUUUCCGGAUGAAUAACAGUGUGUUUCAAAAUUAAAAGCUGAUUUUCCAAAAGUGGUGGUCGGCAAAAUUUCCUAUCACAAGCUGCCUGUUUUGUCCCACGUUGUCACUGUGACAGCUCACUCGCAAAAGAUGGCACUCGAUAGUUUCCACCAGUGGAUUUAUAGAGCUCAGAACUUAAGUCCGCAUUGUUUGGCGGCAAAAUCUGGGCCACAUGUGAUAACAGUAUUAUCCCUCUGUACAGUAAGCGUGCCGACACUCAUGCAACUGUCUGUCAUCCGGGGCCCGAACGAUGCAAAAUAGCUGGCGGCUGUGGGUGUGUGAUAGACCUCCAGCUUUAACUCUGCACGGGGAGAGCGUGUGGGCACGUAUCACUCCGACCCAAACACACUUUUCCUGCUGACUGCUGCAGCAAAAAGUAGUUUGUGCGCAGCAGCAGCAGCAGCAGCAGCAGCCUUUAUACGAGAGCGCUUUAUAUUUUAAGGUGGACAUAUAUUGUCACCUGUGCGUUGGCAUGAUGCAAUUUGUGAAAAUGCGCAGGAUUUAUGGAGGCUGAGCGGGACUCGCAGGUUUCUUGCAGCGCCGGUCAUCUAUUGGCCAAAUCACUUAUUCAAAGUGUGCUAAGUUUUUCCAUGAGGUUUUUCUGUAAAUUAAUAAAAUUCUUACUCUGGGCUGAGCGGAGCGAGCAACACUGGGCUGAUAUAUAUUUAUAUAUAAAGGAACUUUAUGUUAGGCCAUCUGGAAAAUGCAGGUUUUUAAAGAGGGUGAGUAAAACUUAAGCGCUGCUACGGGACACAAUUCAGCUAAUUGUAAACAGCUGCAGGUGAUAUCACCCUUCAGAGUACAAGACAAAGCAGGGGCAGAAAAAAAAAAAAAAAACAAAGCUCAGGAUUUAAAGGAACACUGCAAUCCUGCCUGACCUACUGAGGAAAAUAUAAAGUGUCUUUUUUAACAAUAAAUGACACCAAUUUAGUUUGUCCUCAAGUGACAGUUUUUUUCUCUCUCUCUCUUUUUUUUUUUUAACUCCCUUCCUGUGAAUAGUCAUGCGUUUGCACUGCAGCAUCCUACAGGCAAAACCCCCACUGCAAAGCCCAUUAGAAUCAAAUGAAUGUCAGAUUCGGCUAAGUGUUUGCACAUGACAAACAUCUAACAUGGCUAAUUGCUGAUAAGUGUCAGGGUGAAAUGUGUUUUGAGGUUAGGAUGGUGCAAAAUGGCGUCUACUGUAGUGCAGUUGUAAUCUUUUCUUUUUUUUUUUUUUUUUUAUUGUUCAUUUUGCAA